AGUGGACGCAUCACUGGUGUUCGGGUUGUCAUGCCAAUGGCACUGCCCGGUAGCUAAAUGCGGAAGAGAUAAGUGCUGAAAGCAUCUAAGCACGAAACUUGCCCCGAGAUGAGUUCUCCCUGAGACUUUAAGUCUCCUGAAGGAACGUUGAAGACGACGACGUUGAUAGGUCGGGUGUGUAAGCGCAGCGAUGCGUUGAGCUAACCGAUACUAAUGAACCGUGAGGCUUAACCUU
rnacentral:rRNA from 1 species